CUGGCGUCUUAAACUUAGGAAUAACAGCGCUGUUUUGGUGUGCAUGUAAAGAAAUGCACGGGCACUGCAGUAUCUGAAGGCUGAGCCUCCGUCCGUGUUACUGCCAGGUUCUAACAGAGAUUGAAAAGAUCCUCACCUAGGGGGAAUUAACAAAGCUCCACUGAAACGGUGUUAAUUUAGACCAGAGAUUGGGCUGGGGCCAAACUGCUCAACACAUUCGGGAAUCGUCCCCCAAAACAAAAGUCUAGCCCAUUGUUCCUAAACCCUUAUUAGCAGCAGAGCCUUCACGGCUUGUUCCAUUUCCUCCCCAUUCUGCUAAUGCUCCUCUAAAUCCAGAACAAUAACAGAGCUGCUGAGAUUUUGUUCUUCUAAUGCUUUUCAGCGUUUUGCUUUUAGUUGCCUGCAGUGGGAUCUUGUCCCUGCUGUGUACCCAACAAGACAGCGGGGUCGAUGACGGAAGCCCAGCCUGUCAGAUCUGCCGCACAGCCUCGGCUCCAUUGGCAUGACUGGCCUGAAAUGAAAUCACUUUGAGUUUUAUGUGGCCUCUUCCUUGUCAAAAUCCCAGUGAAUGUGGUUAUGUGAUGCCAUUGGAAUGACUCAUUGCCAUAAUUACAUAUGUUCUAAGGGGUUAUUCCCAUUGUAUUCUUAAAAACUAGUGAUGUUUGAUUUUUGGCAGGGGCUGUCUUCCUUGUGUGAUCUACAGAUUUUGUCAAUUAAAUGAAGGAAAAGGAGAUCUCCAAGGCUUCAGAGCAAGACUGGGCUUGAAAUGAGAGCACUUCUUCAGCAUGCAAUUGAGCUACUUGGUUUUAACAGGGUAAAGGCAACAUCGGCCAUCUUACUCUCCCUGUUGCAGUGAUUCCAUGCAGAACACAAGGACAGAAGUGGGUUUCUUAGCCAGCCUUCAAAAUCAUCCCAAGCAUGGCCAGAAGAUACAGUAGAUGGUUUAUCACCACGGCAGUUUUCCCAGCUCAGCUCCUCAGGAAUGGGUUUUCAGGGAUAGAGCUCACAAGAGCUGAGGCAGGGCUCCUUGGCAACAAGCUCCAGGUUUGAUGGCUCCUUAACAGAACAAAACAAAGUGAUCCCAGAUACGGUUGCCUUGGACCUGGACUUCCCAAAAUGGUGAUGGAAAGCAACAGGGGGAAGCUGGAGGGAGGAGAAAUCUGAUCUUUCUGACAGGAAUGAAGUGGUUACUAGCAAUAGAAGCUAAAGCAUUUAUGUACAAAUGCUUAGUUUUGUGAUUUUAUUUUAAUAGUCAUGAAAAGUGAUUUCUUUUGUGGAAAACCAAACAUUAGCUUUGUGUGGCACAGGAUUUGACAUGGCCUUUUGGCCUAAAUGCCAGGUUCUAACCAGGCAUUUGAGCUUGUGUAGGAAAUAACAAUAUAUUAUCUGCCCGACUGCCUCUGUUUUCCCACUAAGAUCCUGCUACUCUUUGAAAAUCAUGGAGAUUCUGGCAAGCAGCUCCAUCUAAAUGAUGGUUUGGCAUUCAGCUGGGUAUAAUAUGUGUAUAAAUGCCAUUGGUGUGAUUUAUUUAUGGCGACUGGUUAAAUACAGCUGGUAUUUCUGUAGUUUUAGUAGAGAUUUUAAACUGAUUAUACCUAACAUCUCUCUCUGAGAGCACUAUUGACUUAAUACAAUCUGUAAAUACAUGUAAAAUCUCCCUUUUAGUGAUCUCAGGCAAUGUAAUCCAAAUAGUAGCAUUAGGGGUAACCUGUUUCCCUAUCCUACUCUGUUUCCUUUAAUCAAAGCAGAGAUUUCUUCUGAGUGAGAAAUCUUUUUAACAUAAACAUGAGCUAAAAAGUGUAUACAUUGCCUCCAUCUCCAUGGGGGUAGAAAGCUGGUAAAUUCUUGUUUGAGGAGUAUACGUGCACCCAUUUAACUUGACUGUAGCUGAUGAAAACUACAGAUUUAUAUUACACAGAGAGGGUAAGAACAUAAUACAACCGACCUGUCUUUGGGGGAAUUUGUCUGCUUUAGCUCCUAAAUCUUCAUGAAUGAGAUAGAAAUUAAACAGUUCCAAACCCAUGAUUGUAA